rnacentral:rRNA from 1 species
CCCUUAGAUGUUCUGGGCCGCACACGCGCUACACUGAAGGAGGCAGCGUGUACUCCUGGAUCGAAAGAUUUGGGUAACCCGCGAAUCUCCUUCGUGCUAGGGAUUGAGGUUUGCAAUUAUCCUUCAUGAACGAGGAAUUCCCAGUAAGUGCAAGUCAUAAGCUUGCGCUGACUACGUCCCUGCCCGUUGUACACACCGCCCGUCGCUACUACCGAUUGAAUGAUUUAGUGAGGACUUCGGACUGGGACCGAUGCGGCUUUCGGGCUGCGUCGGUAUUCUGGAAAGAUGUCCAAACUGUAUCAUUUAGAGGAAGUAAAANUCGUANCA